rnacentral:rRNA from 1 species
UAGUCCACGCAGUAAACGAUGAGUGCUAGAUAUCUGAAACAUAAGUUUUUGGGUGUCGUAGCUAACGCGUUAAGCACUCCGCCUGAGGAGUACGGUCGCAAGACUAAAACUCAAAGGAAUUGACGGGGGACCCGCACAAGCGGUGGAACAUGUUGUUUAAUUCGAUGAUACGCGAAAAACCUUCCAGGUCUUGACAUACUAGUCGUACUUUAUAGUAAUAUAAAGGUCGGUUCGGCCGGACUAGUACAGGUGUUGCAUGGUUGUCGUCAGCUCGUGUCGUGAGAUGUUGGGUUAAGUCCCGCAACCGAGCGCAACCCUUGCCCUUAGUUACCAUCAUUAAGUUGGGCACUCUAAGGGGACUGCCGGUGAUAAGCCGGAGGAAGGCGGGGAUGGAUGUCAAAUCAGCAUGGCCCUUACGGGCCUGGGGCUACAAACGUGUUACAAUGGUGACUACAGAGAGACGC